CUUGAGCGAGCCGAGCCAGAGCGGCCGGUCCUGCGGCCGGUCCCGGCCGUAGGUGGCGAUCAGCGCGUCGGCUUC
rfam:Streptomyces autolyticus strain CGMCC0516, complete genome.